UGGCGGACGGGUGAGUAAUGUCUGGGAAACUGCCCGAUGGAGGGGGAUAACUACUGGAAACGGUAGCUAAUACCGCAUAACGUCGCAAGACCAAAGAGGGGGACCUUCGGGCCUCUUGCCAUCGGAUGUGCCCAGAUGGGAUUAGCUAGUAGGUGGGGUAACGGCUCACCUAGGCGACGAUCCCUAGCUGGUCUGAGAGGAUGACCAGCCACACUGGAACCGAGACACGGUCCAG
rnacentral:rRNA from 1 species